UUAACUCAAUUUUGUAAGGAGUUGAAACGUUUGUCUACGUUUGCCGCUAGGGGCGCUGUUCCAACUGCAUACAAACUUGAGUUA
rfam:Bombyx mori DNA, contig: Bm_scaf2_contig2031, strain: p50T/Dazao, build 2, whole genome shotgun sequence.